AUUCCAGCUCCAAUAGCGUAUAUUAAAGUUGUUGCGGUUAAAAAGCUCGUAGUUGGAUUUCUGUUGUGAGCAGCCGGUCCACACUAUGUGUGAGUAUCUGGUUGAAUUACUACAUCCUCCUGAGGAACAUGGUGCGCUUCAUUGCGUGGUAUGGUAAUCAGGACUUUUACUUUGAGGAAAUUAGAGUGUUCACGGCAGGCGUUUGCCUUGAAUAUAUUAGCAUGGAAUAAUGAUAUAGGCGAUCGCGUCUAUUUUGUUGGUUUCUAGACGCAAUCGAAUGAUUAAUAGGGACAGUUGGGGGCAUUCGUACUAUGACGUCAGAGGUGGAAUUCUUGGAUUGUCAUACGACGAACUACUGCGAAAGCAUUUGCCAAGGAUGUUUUCAUUA
rnacentral:rRNA from 1 species